AGACAAGACAUUCAGUUGUGGCUCAGUUGUAAUUUACUUUUCAAAUGUGGUACAUUAAAGGGAACAAUUAUAACUAAUAUAGGUAUAAGACCAGAAGACCAAAAAAAGGGAAAGUCAAACUUAAUACCCUGUAGGUAAAAACAUAUUUUGGUUUUUUUAAUGGUAUCUCUUAGUGGACUUCAGGAGGUGGUUGGUCCAAAGACAUAUUUUGACUCGGAAUUUGGUCAAGGAUCAUUAAUGAAUUUGGUUCAUUGAUAAUUAGAGAUUUGGAUGAAUCAGCUGCUCAAUUCAUGUUGCUGUGUACUCAGACCCCACAGAUAAAUGUUACCAACAGACCUCUUCUGUAGUUCUAAAAGGGGAUUUUCUACAAGUCAUAGUGUGGUAGGCUGAAUAAUGGCCCCCCUAAGAUGUCCACAUCCUAUUCCCCGAAAUCUUUGAAUAUGUUGCCUUACGUGGCAAAAAGGACUUUGCAGGUGUAGUUAAAUGAAGGAUCUUGAAAUGGGAAGAUUACGCUGGAUUUUCAGGAUGGGCCAAUGUAAUCACAAAGGUCCUUAUGAGAGGAGGGCAGUCAGAGAGAGAUGAUGUACAGAUGGAAGCAGAGGUCAAGGAGAGAGAAGAUGCUAUGCUGUAUGCUGCUGGCUUUGAAGAGGAGGAACGGGCCACAGACCAACGAAAGUAGGUGGCUUCUAGAACCUGGAAAAGGCAAGCAAAUAGAUUAUUCCUUAAUGCCUGAAGAAGGAAUGCAGCCCUGUGGACAUAUUCUAGGCCUCUGAUCUUUAGAACCGUAAGCUAAAUUUGUACUGUUUUAAGCCACUAAAUUUGUGGUAGUUUGUGAUGGCAGCUAUAGGAAACUAACACAUGUGGUCCAUUUAUAAUUCAGAGGAGACUCUAGGCUAGGAUGACAUGUCAACUCUGAUCGAUUACUAGGUGGUGCCUAGGGUUCUGGGUUGAGAAUGGUUCUGAGACUGAGUCUGGGUGGGCUCAGCAAAAAAUAUUACCAUGAUCAUAGCUGUAAUCAUUACCAUGAUCAAAACCCAUGACUGCCGUGGGUUUUGGAUGCACAUAUGUGCCUCAGACCGAAAUCUUUUUGUGGUGAGUGGGCAUAUAGCCUGCAGAACCUAACAACCAAACAGUCUGUGUGGCUCAGAAGGAUGAGCUCCAUCCUGCACACUGACUCAAAUGGAGAUGGCUAAGGCAUGUGAGUUUCAAUAACAGCGCAGCUGAAAUUUCUUGCAAGGGGAAAGUUAUUGGAUUUACAAAACUUUUCUAUAUUCAAGAGCUGCGGGUUCCGCUCAUGUCUAGCGAGCCCACUAACUUGUAACUUGGGGUUGUUUGAUGCCCUGUUAUUCCAUUUUACUUUCAAUGGAAAAGCAAACUGAGCAAAAGCUAUUUGGGGAUAAAGUAUGGGAAGUUUUAAAAAAUGGAAAUUAAGAAAUUUCGCUUGUAAAAACAGAGCCACAGAAUGCUUAGUAACACCAAGAAUAUUCUCCUUUUAACCCUCCUAUCUCUCAACUUUACUCCCCUUUACCCUGAACCUAAUCUCCUCUGUUCAGGUCACGAAUACACAGCACCCAUGUAAUGGGGACCAAAGUCUUCUGGGACUGGUCGUAUGAACCUGAAGAUGAAUCAUGACUUAAGUGUUAAGGACUGUCAUGCACUCUUAUAGCUGCCGCAGAAGCCUGAAACCUGGGCGAGUUUUGAGCUGGGAGAUAGAACGAGAUUCACACGACAUGCCGCGUGACCAGGUCACCAGAAAACUCCAUUUCUUCUGUGAGGGGUUUCAAAGAGAAUAACGACCUACUCAGAGAAUGCCACUGUAGCAGAAACUACUGGAUGCUCACCAAACCCAUUUCCUCUUCUUCCUAAGCAUACAGCUCAAAUAAAUUACCCAGCCUCCCUUUUGUGGCCAUGUAACUGUGUUCCAGCGAGAGGAAUGUGAGGAUAAGUGGCAUGCACCACUUCCAGCCCUGGCCCGUAAAAAUCCUCCGACGUGCAUCUUCCAAACUCCCUUCUCUGGCUGCCUAGAGUGACAUUGACUUUUAUGGUACCUUUGGAAGCCACAUGUUGAAGAUAGCAGAACUAAACAUGCAAGGAGCCUGGCCCUUGAUUCACUCCUUGGAGGAUCUCUACUCAAGCAGGAAUGCUAAAUUGAACUGCUACAUGAUUUUCCUGUUUCAAGACGGCAAAAUGUUGGGUUGGAUCCCUGAAUCAGAUGUCUGGGCUGUAAGAAUGUCCCUGGAGGGGUUGUUCCCUCCCUCCAAGGUGGUUGAGCAACAUUCUACAUGUGGCGGGCACGUGGCUGCACAUUCUGCUCUUGCAUGGGAUUGGCUGUUGAUUGACAAGGCACCAAUAGCAACUCUACUUUAUAUUCCCAGAGCUCCGCUAAGCUCUACUCCUCACCAGGUGGCAAAGGCUGGGUGGAA
ensembl:lncRNA